rnacentral:rRNA from 1 species
UACGGAGGGUGCGAGCGUUGUCCGGAAUCACUGGGCGUAAAGGGCGCGUAGGCGGCCUGAUAAGUAGGGGGUGAAAUCCUGCGGCUUAACCGCAGGGCUGCCUUCUAAACUGUCAGGCUCGAGCACAGUAGAGGCAGGUGGAAUUCCCGGUGUAGCGGUGGAAUGCGUAGAUAUCGUCAAGAACACCAAUAGUGAAGACAGCUUACUGGGCUUAAACUGACGCUGAGGCACGAAAGUGUGGGGAUCAAACAGG